CAAAAGGCAAACAAACACUGGAUUGCAUACACACUCACACACUAUUUUACAGACCUGUCCCUAAUGGGAGGCCCAGAGGCAUCAUUGGAAGUAUAGGCUGAUCCUCAUUCUUGUAGCAUGCUAGCUUGCUUUUUUUUAAAAAAAUUAAAAGCCUUUCUAAGAAAAUCGGGGAGGAAAUUUGGCAGGUGGCAAGACAUGUUGACAAGCACAGUGCUGCCCUGGGUACUAUGUUGGGGAAUGACAUAAAAGAGCCAUAGAGGAAAGAAAUGUAUUUCUCUUCAUUCAGUUCUAGUGGAGCUUAAUCUUCUCAACAGAACCUUUUAAUUCCACUGGCUGCUUCAUCUUCCUAAAACCAUGUAUCAGUUACAAUAGGCCAUUUCUUUAUAAAUUAAUCUACUAAUAGAAUGGCCAGUACUUUACUGUUCCUAUUAUACAAAGUUCUCUUCAUUUCUGGAAAGCUUGAUCUUCAAAGUCAGUCAUUCUAUGAAAAGUGUUAGACGAAGCAGUUUUGACUGAUUUUUAGUGGUUUGAUUAUGGUCUUCUUACAAACUAGAAUAAGAUUUGUUGCUUUUAUAGAUUGUCCAUAAUUAAGGUUUGUAAAGCUGAUGAUUAGCUGUAUAAAAUAUAUAUUUGACUUUUUAGAAACUUUGUCUCUUUUUUCAUUUUUGUUAGGUGUUUUCAUUUUUUUGGUGCUAAUUAACAAUAUAAAGAUCAGAUUUUAAAUAUUCUAUCACUAUGGCCAAAUACUUACUUGUAGAUGCAGAUGUUGUAAUGCACAUAAUGGAAUUUCCAUCUCAUAAAUGUGCUCCUGCAGUAAUUUCAGCAUAUAAAUGUAGUCCAUAGCUAAGCUUCUCAGUGCUGAUUUCUCCCUAUUGAAUCCUGCCAUAAGCAGAUCUGUGCAUAUUUUUGAGCAUACGUGGAUCUCGGAAUAGAAGCACACCAUUUCCUGAGGCAGUAUUACACUAACUUUGAAUCAGAGUGAAGACAGUUACUGUCAACAAGCACUUAAAUGAUUCAAGGAUAUCACAUUUCUGUCAGUGUUUGAAUGUAUUUUCAUUUCUGAAAUAAAUGAAAUGUGUGUGUGAUUGCGAAACACCAUACAGCAUUUAAUUUAAUUCUUUGUAUUUCAAACGUGAAAAUGAAAAUACGGCUCUCUGGAUGAAUUUCUAGUACACUAGACAUCUGGAAGUGACGUUCUUGAAAUAAUUCUUUUUUGGUAACUACUUCUCUUUCUAUCUCACUUUUCCUAUUAACUUCCCAAGACAAUCAUUGGCGUGAUUGUAGGAUUGUGCAAGGAUGAAGGAAGUGUGGACUUCUCUGCCUAUCACUUCUUUCUACUUCCAUGCUACAAACAUCACAUUGCACAUUCUGCGCAUUUCAGAAGCAGCUUUUAGAAGAAAGAGCAGGAGUGUCCUGUUGCAAAAGGGGAAUUCUGCUCAAGCAUUUGUGCACCCAAGUCAAUGUCUAGAGUAUAAAUAACCAUUUUUGCAAAUAUGUUGAUAUAUUACUGGGGAAAAGAUUACAUUUAUGAGACCAUAAACUUUAUUUUCAUAAUAAACAAGACAUGUUUUGUUGGCUUUUUCUGUUUUAUACAGUAGAAGUGACCUUGAUAUCAGUACAGCGUAGGAUUUGAAAUGUGUGAAUACUACAUUAUUGAACUAAGUGUAAUUUAUAAUUAUAUCUUAGUUUUCAGUUACAGGUCUGCAAAAACAAAAGUUGGUGUGGCUGAUGAUGAUAGGGUCUUUACUACAGCUUUAGAUUCAGAGACAGUGGUGAAUAGGGUCUUUCUUUUCUCUAGCCAUGUUGAAUGUGGUUUAUAGAUUAUACAAUUGAAAUAUAAAUUACUGUCAUUGUGCAGUGUGUGUUAAAUGUACAUGGGAGGAUAGCAAACAUGCUUAGUUUAAGACUUUCAGCUCCACCGCCAGUAACUGCCAACACAUGGUUCCUCCGAAGAGAAUGGAGCCCUAAGACUGAAAAAAGUAUCUCAUCCUGCAGAAAAGGGAGCUGCACAUACUCCUUGAGAAUAAUUUUGCUCCAGUCAAGUCAGCAGUUAAGGAAUGGAUAUGGAAGCUUUUUUCUGUUCCAAAAAGUGUUUACUCUUCUGUAUGUCCAAGUGAUAUUUUAAGCAGUCAGUUGUAGAUGUGCAUAAUUUUCCAAUAUUUUAUUCACCAAGUUCCAUUACAGAUCAUAGUACUGUAUAUCUUAGUACCUUUUACAUGGAAUACGUGUGAUUUAUGAAAAGUGCCACUCAAGAGACCAUAUAUCGCUGUCUAUGAAUAUUGUUACCUGUAUUUCUAUUUUGCUCAAAUGCUUUUGAAUGUAAUGAUGAGUGUUUUUGCCUUCAGUCUGCUCAGGUAUUUUAUGAGUAUUGGUGUAUUUUUUCAGUUUUAAUAUUUUGUGUAUUAAUAAAAGGAAAAAAAUAAAGUGUGUUUACAGUGUUUUUCAGCAAUAUAGAGCUAGCUUCAGUUCUCACACCAAGUCUUUUAAGCAGUGGGUAGAUCUAGCUCUGAAAGCAUUAUACAGUACUGCUGAGUUACUUGAUCAUUCCCUUUUAAGAGUAAAAAUUCCUAUCUUGGAAUUACUUGGACCAGUAAUUGACCAACAGAAGUGACUGAAAAAGGAUACAGCUAGCAAGAGUGAAGGAGCAAGGGGAGCAGCAAACCAUUCCAGAUUGUUGUUGAGAAAACUACAUGGACAUGUCCAUGAAGUCAAUUUCAAUUUUAUCUUCAAGGGGAGAAAAAAGUAGCUUAGUGGUACUAAUUUUCUCUCUGCUAUAUUCCAAAAAAUGAUGGCUUGGGGGGUUAUUUUUUGAACUGGAGAGUUUCAAUAAUUUCACAGUUUUCCAUGAGCUGUCCAUGGGAGGAGAGUACUUAGUUUUGUUGGUUGAUGUGAACCAUAAAAAUUAAACGAUACAUGUUGUCCCCUUGUGUAGAAAAUUACUUCCAUUAAAAUUAAUUUGGCAUAU